GAUGAACGCUAGCUACAGGCUUAACACAUGCAAGUCGCGGGGCAGCAUGGGGGUUGCUUGCAAUCCCCGAUGGCGACCGGCGCACGGGUGAGUAACGCGUAUCCAACCUGCCCUUCACCACGGGAUAACCCGGCGAAAGUCGGACUAAUACCGUAUGUUGUCCAUUGACGGCAUCCGAUUUGGACGAAAGGCUUGGCGGUGAAGGAUGGGGAUGCGUCCGAUUAGCUGGACGGCGGGGUGACGGCCCACCGUGGCGACGAUCGGUAGGGGUUCUGAGAGGAAGGUCCCCCACACUGGAACUGAGACACGGUCCAGACUCCUACGGGAGGCAGCAGUGAGGAAUAUUGGUCAAUGGGCGUAAGCCUGAACCAGCCAAGUAGCGUGCAGGAUGACGGCCCUAUGGGUUGUAAACUGCUUUUAUGCGGGGAUAAAGUGGCCCACGUGUGGGUUUUUGCAGGUACCGCAUGAAUAAGGACCGGCUAAUUCCGU
rnacentral:rRNA from 1 species